GCAGGUAAGAAACAGGAGAGUUAAACUAGAUUGACUCUUCAGUGCCUGAGCAGUGUUUAAUCAUCUCAUUGUCAGUGGAAGAUGUUUGGAAAUCCUCGAAGCUUGUUUGUAACAGUUUGUGUAGAUCUGCGCUGAUGGCUGGUUUAUUUAUUUUUAUAGAGCUGUCCUCCAGUUUGGCCUUGAAAGUGGCCGUUCCCGAUUUCGGGCCUAUUACACCGCGUCGGGGUUAUUCACCUGCCCUACGCGGAAAUCAAAGAGCCCUUCACAGCGUAUUUUGACCUAGAGAACAACAGGAGCCGCAUUGACUACUAUGGAGGGAUGGUCAUGACCUACCAGCGGGGAUCAGAUGACGUACGGCGUCUCCUACAAGGUGGCACCGAGACAACGGAGACCCAGACCAACGUGCAGACAUGCUUCCAAGUCAAUGGCACCAAGGAUAACGAGAUACUACCUCAGUCAAUUGUGCCCGAUCUCACGGAAUUCACUUAUAAGGUGAAGUGUCCUGCAAAUGGGAACAUGUGACAGUCAGUAUCUAGUCACUCAAGUGGGCGACCAGAUGAACCGCUACACCUUCCUGCUGACACGCUCAAAGGAUGGCGCUCCCAUCCCGCGGCAUUAUGUGAAGGGAUAUGACAGCCUAAUCGGAAGUCAUUAUGAUAAAUACGUAAUCUCCUAUAUCCAGUUCGAUCCGGUCAA